CCGAAACCCUAGAGUAGCCCUGGCCCUUCCCUUUUCCAUCCAUAGUUGACCCUUAACACUUCCCCAAGAACCAAUCUGUCACCAUGAACGGAGACCAAGCUCGUCCAGGCCUCGGGGUUAUUUUUUAGCUUUCAGACCCCUCCUAUAUUUCGAUUUCGACGAAGGAGGAGGAGUUUUAUGGCGUAUUUACAAGGUAAAACUUCAUUUCCCUUUUUUAUACAUUCGAAUGCUAAAAAAGAUUAAAAAAAAGAAAGAGGAUUCGGAAAGAAAGAGGCAAGAAUGAGAAGAAAUCUGGAAGUUCUUAAUCUAAAGUCACCUUUUUUUGCUAUUUCUUUGUAUUCAUUAUGCAAGUAUUGUGGCUGUAUUGUGUGUUCGUAUUACUUGUAUAAAAAAAAGAAGAAGAUUUACAGUCGGAAAUCAUCGGCUUUAUAGCCGAAUAAUCAAAAAUAAAGAAAAAUACAAUUUUUCCUUUGCUUUCGUAUUUGCUACUGCUCUGUUUUCCUUCUUGCAGGUACGAGUGUGCGUUGGCGUGUGUACAGGGGUGUGGCGUGGUUGCUGAAAUGUUGGGGCAUAUGGAGGCACGGAGCUGCUGUCCGGUUGCUGUUGCGGCGCAGGAAGGAGGAGUGACCUAGGGUUACUAAAGUUGUUUCAGCUUUUGGGCUGUUUUAGGCCUUGAAGCUUUGGACUGUUUUGUAAAUGGGCUAGGGUAUUAAUUAUAAGGUCAUGUAAUUGGGCUUAGGUAUCGGGCUAUGGGAUAUUGUAAUGAUUUGGACUGCAAUAGGACAUUAAAUUUUAUUUGGGUUUUAUACUUAUUGUUUUUUUGGUUUAUUUUUGUUUUGUUUUGUGUUUGCAUGGGCCGGGCCAAAAUUGGUCAUUACACUCCUUUGCUGAUGGCUCUCUAAGGUGGCUGACCAAGGGCUCUUUAAGAGGUUUAAUUGCUAGAAUCUCUAUGAAGAGAUGAUGCCAGGUGUGGGGAAUGGAAAAG
rnacentral:lncRNA from 1 species